CAGGCUCUUAAAUCAGCCUGAAUAGUGGUGCAUGGAAUAAUGGAACAGGACCUUGGUUCUAUUUUGUUGGUUUUCGGAAUCCAAGGUAAUGAUCAAUAAGGACAGGCGGGGGCAUUCGUAUUGCGACGUUAGAGGUGAAAUUCUUGGAUCGUCGCAAGACGCACUAGAGCGAAAGCAUUUGCCAAGUAUGUCUUAAUUGAUCAAGAACGAAAGUUAGAGGUUCGAAGGCGAUCAGAUACCGCCCUAGUUCUAACCAUAAACGAUGCCAGCCAGCGAUCCGCCGACGUUCCUCCGAUGACUCGGCGGGGAGCUUUCCCCGGGAAACCAAAGCUUUUGGGUUCCGGGGGAAGUAUGGUUGCAAAGCUGAAACUUAAAGGAAUUGACGGAAGGGCACCACCAGGAGUGGAGCCUGCGGCUUAAUUUGACUCAACACGGGAAACCUCACCAGGCCCGGACAUUGGAAGGAUU
rnacentral:rRNA from 1 species